CCUCGCGCGUGAGCACCUGCGGAACACGCGAAGCUUGCGGAGGACCCCCCAAGGCUUCAUUCCGCACCCCACCCCCAGCCCACCCCGGAGCGAGAAUGAAGCCGGGAGAUGGUGUUUUAUUUUUAUUUUUAUUUAUUUAUUUAUUUUGCGGCGUCUUUGGAACUGGAACUCAAGUUUUCUCCCUGAGAACUUCUCAGCCUUCUCCUUUUUCAGCCCCAAGAAAUAUCUCCCUUGGAUGGGCAAUGGAAUGAAGAAAUAAGCAGAGAGGUUAAAUUCAUAGCAUCUAUCAAUGAUGGAGCCCCAUCCAAGAAGGAAAAAUGAUGAAAAUGAGACUCAGAGAAAUUGGCUGACUUCCCUGAAGUGACAGAGGUGACCUGGGAGAAACAAGAUUUGAAUGGAGGUCCUCUGGCAUCAUGGCUUUCCAUGAUAGUACACUGCAGUCCAACUAUGUCCCAGGGCCAAUGAUCAAGGGAAGUCCAGAGGAUUGAGAAUGGGGGAUUGCAAAAAAAAGGAUCAAAACAGCCAUGAAGGAAAGAACUAGAAGAGAAGCAAGAUACCUUAUCAAAGAAGGCAACUUCCUUCUCCCUUUCAAAACACUUGCUUGUUGCUUCCAGCUCCUUAUUGAGAAUCAUUUUCUUUUCAUUUUAAUUAUUUUUCCAAUAACACGUAAAGAGAUUUUUUUGAGUUCCAGAUUUCACAUGUAGCUUUUGGAGACAUGGAAUGAUGUUACUCUGACUUGGUCUGGAUGCAAUCUUAUUAAAUGGUGGUCUAAUGUCAUCUGAACUCUCCCUUCCCCCCAAUUCUGAGGAUCACAGGCAAGGAGGCAAAAGGAAUCUCAGGGACCAUCUAGUCUAAUGAUAUUUUUAAAAGAAGAAUCUAAGGCCAAGAAAAGUUAAGAGACAAUGUCCAACUAUUACACAAGUAGCAAUUGUUGGAAGCAGGACACUUCUUUUUGUAUUUCAUUGGCCAAAUGCAGCUAAAAAGUACUCGUAUUUCUCUUAAGUCAGUAUCUAAUUGUGAUGCCCCUCUUUAUGAUUAAAAAGGUAAAAUAAAACAACU